AAUACCAUUCAGUUGAUUCCUGAAGUUCAAACUAGCAACACCUUCGGAAAUGAACUCCAAAUUCUAAGUGAUUUUCGGUUGCCUUACAAAAUUUAAAUUUCUCGGCUAGUUUUAAGAACAAAGUUUCGUUUUUUAAAAUUAUUCUUAAGCUCAAAGUGAUAUUCUUUCCACCGGAAAAGUCGUAUUAUAUCGUAAACACCAACUCAGAAACACACAGAUGACUAGACUCUUUUCUUUCUCCUGGUAAAUGGUAGCACCAUCACUGAAUACUCUUCAAUCAUGAGCAAUCUUUUUACACUUACUUAUGUUGAUUCAUACUUCCUGGACGAACUUACAUAAGCGAAAAUAAUACUAUAACACUAUAACCUAUAAUACUGAUCAACACUUAAAGCUCUCUGGACUCAACUGAAUACCAACCCCAGUUCGUGGGAUAUAUAUGGUUAUAUUAUACGUUAAUUCAUACAUCCCGGACGAACUUACAUAAGCGAAAAUAAUACUAAAACACUAUAACCUACAAUACUGAUCAACACUUAAAGCUCUCUGGACUCAACUGAAUACCAACCCCAGUUCGCGGGAUAUAUAUGGUUAUGUUAUACGUUAAUUCAUACUUCCCGGACAAACUUAAGCGAAAAUAAUACUAAAACACUAUAACCUAUAAUACUGAUCAACACUUAGAGCUCUCUCUCUCUCUCUCUACCAACCCCAGUAUAUGGAAUAUGUUAUACUAAAUAAUAUAAAAAUAAUAAAUGUACCUUUUUACACUUAAAGCAAAUGAAUUUAUUUGGGGACCAAAUAAAUAUAAAGAAUGGUAAUAGUUAAUUAGGCCAAAAGUGGGUCAGAAAAACAACAGUGAACUGAAAACAAGCUAAAAAUGGGCGGCGAAAAAAAAUGGGAGGCCGAAUUAACCCAAAUAUGCAAAUAAAUCUGCCAACAGAAAUGGAAACGAGUCUGAGCCAAGUUGCACAUUAACUUCCGCAGCUCAUUAAGUCACUGUCAGCCCUUCAAAGCGGGAAGCUUGCUGGAAGUACAUAUUAAUUUAUGUGACGCCAACUGGACGACCACUGUACAAGGCCCCAGAAUCAACCAAGAACGUCUCUCCGAGCUGGAAAACAACAAAACAUUGUUGGGAGGUGUUACCAGUACACCCUGCGUAUUUAGAUAAAUGUACAGGGGUCGAAAAAAUUGCUGAAAAAAUUGUAAUAAAAAUGUCGGCGCUUAAAAUGAAAUACCCAGAAAACAAAAAUAUGACGCGACUCGCCCCCGUUGCCUGAUAUUUAAUUGGGUCGAUUGCCUUAUAUUGCCUGCUUGUAUUUCGUUUGACCAAAAUAAAUGGCUGGAUUUUUAAA